rnacentral:rRNA from 1 species
UAGGGAAUCUUCCGCAAUGGGCGAAAGCCUGACGCAGCAACGCCGCGUGAGUGAUGAAGGUCUUCGGAUCGUAAAACUCUGUUAUUAGGGAAGAACAAAUGUGUAAGUAACUAUGCACGUCUUGACGGUAUCUAAUCAGAAAGCCACGGCUAACUACGUGCCAGCAGCCGCGGUAAUACGUAGGUGGCAAGCGUUAUCCGGAAUUAUUGGGCGUAAAGCGCGCGUAGGCGGUUUUUUAAGUCUGAUGUGAAAGCCCACGGCUCAACCGUAGAGGGUCAUUGGAAACUGGAAAACGUGAGUGCAGAAGAGGAAAGUGGAAUUCCAUGUGUAGCGGUGAAAUGCGCAGAGAUAUGGAGGAACACCAGUGGCGAAGGCGACUUUCUGGUCUGUAACUGACGCUGAUGUGCGAAAGCGUGGGGAUCAAACAGG